AACCUUUGUCCUAAGUCAAUGUUCUCUUACUUUGACCAAGUUUAUUGAAAAAAGAUACCAACAUCUAUAAUACCAAAUAAUUACUAUCAACCCAAUUUUAUGGUGGAUUUAAUGAAACUAAUUUAAUGUUGUAGAUAUUGAUGCAUUUUUCUACAAACUUGGUCAAAGUUAGAGAAGUUUGACUUAUGACAACACGGA
rnacentral:pre_miRNA from 1 species